rfam:Camelus ferus unplaced genomic scaffold scaffold286, whole genome shotgun sequence.
GGCGGGGUACAGCUCAGUGGUAGAGUACGUGCUUAGCAUGCUUGAGGUCCUGGGUUCAAUCCCUAGUCCCUCCA